rnacentral:rRNA from 1 species
UGGGGAAUAUUGCACAAUGGGCGCAAGCCUGAUGCAGCCAUGCCGCGUGUAUGAAGAAGGCCUUCGGGUUGUAAAGUACUUUCAGCGGGGAGGAAGGUGUUGUGGUUAAUAACCACAGAAAUUGACGUUACCCGCAGAAGAAGCACCGGCUAACUCCGUGCCAGCAGCCGCGGUAAUACGGAGGGUGCAAGCGUUAAUCGGAAUUACUGGGCGUAAAGCGCACGCAGGCGGUCUGUCAAGUCGGAUGUGAAAUCCCCGGGCUCAACCUGGGAACUGCAUCCGAAACUGGCAGGCUUGAGUCUUGUAGAGGGGGGUAGAAUUCCAGGUGUAGCGGUGAAAUGCGUAGAGAUCUGGAGGAAUACCGGUGGCGAAGGCGGCCCCCUGGACAAAGACUGACGCUCAGGUGCGAAAGCGUGGGGAGCAAACA